rnacentral:pre_miRNA from 1 species
AGAGGAAUAGCUGGGACAAAUGGUAGUUCAAUUCCCAGCUUUCCAAGGAAUCUACAUACUGCUUUCCAAAUUGGCUGCACCAAUUUGCAGUCCCACCAGCAGU